CCCCCCUCCCCCCACGGCUUCUGCUGGAAACCACCGGGAUGAGGAGGGCCCCACGCGCAGGGGCCUCCAGGCAGCGCGGAACCUCCGCGGCCGCGCAGUGGAGAGGAGGCGCUGCCCCGUGCUCGGUGUCCGCGCAGCGCGGAGCUUCACCCACUUAAACCCCCUCUUGGUGCGCUCUUUUAAGCUCGGCGGGCCCGGGCAGGAUGUUUAUACUGAGCAAUGUAAACACGGGCUCGGGGGUGCUUUAAUAAAAAGAAAUCGGCGAAAACUCCCCGCUGCCUCUCGAAAUGCCCUUUUCUGCCUCCGCCGCCGGUCCGGGGAUGGGAACGGGCUUCGGUCCCCUCUCCUGCUCCGAGCCAUUGGUGUAUAAAUUUGUCCUGAAUGAAGAGGGAAAUGUCAUUUCCUUUCCUCGACGAGCUGAUCUCAACAUAGGAGAUGAAGACUCCAGGCUCUUCCCAAUGAAGUUUCUGGCCAGCAGCUCCAAGGACUGUCACGGCCACGCUGUGCAUUUGGGGACGUCAUGCAAUGGGGCUUUAACCGUGAAUGGAGGACGUCUCAGCCCCACUAUGGGUGGGAUAAGGACAACCCUCACCCCAAGGGUGAGUGCUUAGGAGUGGAGGCAAAGCCAGCUGGUGGAGCAAGUGAUGGGGGCAGGCCUCCCUGAGAUGCAAAUCAGCCCAUGUGUACCCCAAAUGACCCAAACCACAACUUUAUGGAGGCUCUUCUGGCUGUAGGGUGCACUGAUGACAGAGCCAGCUCCCACCAUCUGUGGAUUUCCUCAUCCUGGCAGCUCAGCGGAGAGCAACAGGUUCUAGCUAAAUGCCUUAUGGUCCAGAUGCCAUGGAUCAUCCACCUUGGUUUUAGUAAGAGCAGUGCCCCUGCAACACAGUGAGCAGAUGUGAGGAGGUGUGAGCCACCCCAGGGUGGAGGCCACCUUCUCCAUCCCCACGUUUGCCGUAACCCCAAACCCAGCCCCAUCACGUGUGGUGAUAAAAGGGAACUGGCAGCACAAAACUCAUCUUGAUUUCCAGGCUGGUGGCCGCACAACCCUACUGGCUUCUCCGAAAGAAGCAAGAGACACAAACCUGUUCUGUCCCUAGGUUUCCCGCUGGGCUAAUUACUGCUAAUUGUGCCACUUGGCUAUCUGUUCAGCCACACCCUGAGCAGGGCUGAUUAGGGUAUCAGUGAGAUAAGGAACACUUGGGUAGCACAGGUAGCACAAUGUCCUAAGGAUGUGUUCAGGAACCGGGAUCCAACUGGAAGCCUUUUGGGAAAAGCUAGCAUGGGUUUUGGUGACUGUGUCUGCAAGCUGUACAGAAGCAAGCUGGCAUUCAUUUCAUCGUAAUUCCUUUAAAUUUACUUAGCAUGUGGAUUAUUCGUAUGAGCUGUUUUUGUUGUUGUUAACAAGACACUGUGGAAAUGGAGCUUUCCUCAUUUUUCCCUCUUCCCACAGAGAAAUAAACUCUGUUCUUUUAACA
rnacentral:lncRNA from 1 species